rnacentral:rRNA from 1 species
UACGUAGGGGGCAAGCGUUGUCCGGAUUUACUGGGCGUAAAGAGCGUGUAGGCGGCCAAGCAGGUCCGUUGUGAAAACUGGAGGCUUAACCUCCGGACGUCGACGGAAACCGCGUGGCUAGAGUCCGGAAGAGGAGAGUGGAAUUCCUGGUGUAGCGGUGAAAUGCGCAGAUAUCAGGAAGAACACCAAUGGCGAAGGCAGCUCUCUGGGACGGUACUGACGCUGAGACGCGAAAGCGUGGGGAGCGAACAGG